rnacentral:rRNA from 1 species
CCUACGGGCGGCAGCAGUGAGGAAUAUUGGUCAAUGGACGAGAGUCUGAACCAGCCAAGUAGCGUGAAGGAUGACUGCCCUAUGGGUUGUAAACUUCUUUUAUAUGGGAAUAAAAUGUUCCACGUGUGGGAUUUUGUAUGUACCAUAUGCAUAAGGAUCGGCUAACUCCGUGCCAGCAGCCGCGGUAAUACGGAGGAUCCGAGCGUUAUCCGGCUUUAUUGGGUUUAAAUGGAGCGUAGGUGGAUUGUUAAGUCAGUUGUGAAAGUUUGCGGCUCAACCGUAAAAUUGCAGUUGAAACUGGCAGUCUUGAGUACAGUAGAGGUGGGCGGAAUUCGUGGUGUAGCGGUGAAAUGCUGAGAUAUCACGAAGAACUCCGAUUGCGAAGGCAGUUCACUGGACUGCAACUGACACUGAGGCUCGAAAGUGUGGGUAUCAAACAGGAUUAGAUACCCCUGUAGUC